GGAUAUAAGGGUGAUCCGGCUGCAACAUCUGUCACACUAUUGAUCGCUAGGGUUGAUUCGGUUGAUCUGGUUGGCUAGGCGGGCAUCCCCUUCCUCCCUCAGUGCUGCAUGUGCGUCCCUCCCGAGUCUGUGCGCUCAAGGACAACCACCCUUGAUAGAGGAGGACCAUUCCUUGGUCAAGGGUAUGCUGGUAGCUGUGCUGCCCUGCUAUAACCUCCAAACAAGCUUUCAAGAUGUGUUUUGUAUAUGAACCAUCUCCAUUCAUGGAAGGUGAACAUUUGUAUUGCAAAUAUGUACAAAAUA
rnacentral:snRNA from 1 species